UUAGAUUCACGCACAAACUUG
rnacentral:miRNA from 1 species